CAGCCGCCACGGGAAUACGGAGGGUGCAAGCGUUAAUCGGAAUUACUGGGCGUAAAGCGCACGUAGGCGGUCUGACAAGUCAGAUGUGAAAUCCCCGGGCUUAACCUGGGAACUGCAUUUGAAACUGUCAGGCUGGAGUCUUGUAGAGGGGGGUGGAAUUCCAGGUGUAGCGGUGAAAUGCGUAGAGAUCUGGAGGAAUACCGGUGGCGAAGGCGGCCCCCUGGACAAAGACUGACGCUCAGGUGCGAAAGCGUGGGGAGCAAACAGGAUUAGAUACCCCUGUAGUCCCUGUCUCUUAUAC
rnacentral:rRNA from 1 species